UACGAAGGUGGCAAGCGUUACUCGGAAUUACUAGGCGUAAAGGGCAGGUAGGUGGUUUGGUUAGUCUAUUGUGAAAGCUCCCGGCUUAACUGGGAGAGGUCAAUGGAUACUGCCGAACUUGAGUAUAGGAGAGGUUACUGGAAUUCCCGGUGUAGCGGUGAAAUGCGCAGAGAUCGGGAGGAUCACCACUGGCGAACGCAGGUAACUGGACUAUUCCUGACACUCAGCUGCGAAAGCUAGGGGAGCAAACAGG
rnacentral:rRNA from 1 species